rnacentral:lncRNA from 1 species
AUAACAUCUAUUCACGCUUUAGCCCAAACUAGAUUGAAGAAGAUGCUAUUAGAGAAAGAAGAGAAAGAAAAGAAAAUGACAGAAGAUGAAGAAAAGAGAGAAAAAGAAUAUAAAGAAAAGAGAGAAAAGGAAGUAAAAGAAGUAUAGGAGAAAAAAAAGAGAGAAAAGGAAAAAAAAGAAGAAGAGAGCAUCUUGAUUUGUUAUUUAAAGGAAGCUGUAAUUUAUCUCGUGUUCUUUUAUAUCACAGGGAAGAGUUGUUCAUCAAUAAGGAGUGACACCAACAAUGGGGAUAAGAAAGAAUGAUAUUACUCAAGAAAUAUUUAUUUAUCAAAGAGAAAUUACAAAAGUAAUGGAAUGAAGAAAGGAUGACAUAAAAGGAAGACACAAACUUGGGAUUCAAUGAAUCUAUG